rnacentral:misc_RNA from 1 species
AAGUCGUAACAAGGUUUCAGGUGAACCUGCGGAAGGAUCAUUAACACGUAUCCAACGUUAACGCGGCAACAGCAAUCCCGGUAAAUCAUUGACGACCAGUUUUGAUUCGGGACCUCUGUUACGAUGUGAGAAGUUACAGUUACGAUCGAGCGGUAGAGUCAGUGGCAUGGCGUCCCCAAGCAGAAUCCAGAGAAUGAAAGGAUCACUGGCUGCGCAAGGAUAACGCCUCACGGUUGCUAGAGGUCGAUCACCGACCGGCAGACAUGUCACAGGGUCCCCAUGCCCCUUACCUCACCCCAUUACUAAUGACUAGCUUAGCGGUAACGCGCUGAGUAAAAAAAAACCGAACAACUGUUAACAAUGGAUAUCUUGGUUCUC